AGGGGCAGCCGUCUGCAUCUCGGUCCCCUCUCCCUCCGACAUGGCCGCUCCCAUCCACCGCCCACCCCCGCCGCCGCUGCCCUCACCCUCUCCCUGCCCAGGCCCCACAUCAAGCAGCGGCCAUGGCGUUCCCGGCCGCCGCGGUGCGUGAUUCCCACCUCUAUCUCUGCCUCGCCGUGGAUGGGAAGGAGAUCGGAAUCCUCCAUGGACGGACGCACUGAUGGGGGUCUCGUCUGACGACGGAGGCGGACCACCAGGAGGAGUUGCCGUGAGACGACACCGACGGUCGGCUCCUUCUCCACAACAACACAACACCGACCGUGGGGACUCCCGUUCUUCCACCCUGACGGCCUCUCCUCCGGCGCCCCUGUUCUUCUUCCACUCCGGCACGAUGGUGCAUGACAGAGCCGGCUGCGUGUGGUGCGUGCGGGGGGAUUCUUCUUCCACUCUGGCAAUCUGAGAGCAGCCAAGCAAGGUUAUUGAGAUAUGUAUCUUGCGAUUCUUUGUGUGUCGGUUACGUCUGCGGGUACGGCUGCACGAGUUCAUGUUUGUCAUUCACACAUGCAAAUUGUGAUGCCUGCUGCUUGCGACAGUUUCGCCCCUGUUCUUCUUCUACUCCGGCAAGAUGGAUUCAAACUUGGUUCUGAAAAGCACACCGCAGAGGUCACCGUGAAGAAGUCUGGAAGCCUGCUUAUAAAUUCUGGGAUACAAGGAUACUCCCUGCUAAAGACAACUCAGUCUGGAUUUGAAGGAUUCGUGAGGGAUCGCUACACCCUUCUUCCUGAAACAAGAGAAAGAAUUGUAGCUACAGAAGUAACUGCUUGGUAGAGGUUUGGGCACUCUUCCCCAUCUGCCUGAAAUGUUCUCUUUUUGCACAAUGCUGAUGGUCAUUCAACCCUUUUAUUUAUUGUCCAUAGUAAUUCUUCAAUUCAAGGCGACAAAUCAAGUGUCAGUAUUACUAUGAUAUUUUUAAGUUGGACUGUCGCUUGUUUGUCCAGUGGAGUAGCACUUCUAUUGCUGUUGGUCUUGGACAAGCAUAGUUCUUUUACACAUACUGUUGCCAGUAUCUUUUGGGUUUUCAAGCUAAUAUGAGCCAUGUUACAAGUUAUGUAGAGGAGCUCAUGACAAAUUAUUAGCUUUUAAAUUGCAUGUCUACUCCAAUACAUGUCAAAGUACUACCUUUUAUAUGCCCACAGUGUAUAUUCCGCAGGCUGCACACAUCUUAGAAACUUUCCGAUGCUUGCUUACUACUCCCUCCGUCCCAAAAUAAGUGUCUCAACUUUGUACUAACUUUAAUAUAAAGUUAUAUUAGAGUUGAGACACUUAUUUUGGGACGGAGGGAAUACAACUUUGUCUAAAAGCUUCCUUCCCUGUACUUUUGGCAUAGCUUAGAUUUUUGUUGUCACCUCUCUUGGGCAUUAGGGGAUAUCCUACAGCUGAAAGCAUUUCCGAUCUGAUCCGCUUUUGGGCUUAUGGAUUUCUUAAAAUUCGUUUACUUAAGAAUACAGUUUCUGGUGUUUACUGAAUAUAACGUGCUUUCUUUUGCAUACUUUUGGUAGUUUUUCCGAACGAUUGAUCACAUAGAUGAUUCUGGAUGGCCAGAUAUAUCCACUUAAUACACUGUGCUAAUAGAUUUGCCUUAUAGCACACUAUCUAUGCUAAUAGUUUCGCCUUAUAGUGCACUACCUGUGCUUAAAUAGUUUUGUAGACAUUUGAAGCCUCUUGGCUGAAAAAGUUCAAUCUACAAGGUGCAUGAUGAAGGAUAUGAAAGCUGUAGCAAAAGGACUUGCUGAUGCUUCCAAUGAUUUAAGCUAAUACUAUAAAGCAUUGCAUCUAAUACAUAUUCUUUAUAACUAAAUAAGAUUUGGUAUUUGGUUUAAAGUCCAAAGUUUGCUUGAAAGAAGUUUUGGAAGCUGAUUUUUUUUCUGUCAUGUCUACUAGGAACAAAAAGGAAAUGCCUACAUGUCAAAUCCUCAUAUGCAACACGGAUGUCUUGUAUUUAUGGGAUUGUUCUCAUGUGAUAGUUUUUCCUAUGUAAUAUGAACUUAUAUAAAGGCACAAGAUUGCUCUUCAUUUUUUGCAGACCCAAUAGAGGUGCAUAGAGAAGAGACUUGAUUAGUCUACACUAUGUCUUGUUGAUUGCAAAUACCACUUUGACUCAUCUCAUCCCCUCGAUUCAUGCUUGUUUUCUUUAUUUUGGCUAUUGAUCCAUAUAUUGGAUGCCCUCGGACGUAGCACAAUGUCAAUGCUGACAUAUGAGUUUUUUUCUCUCAGCAGAUGAGAGUCUGGAAUGUUCCAUCCAAAUAGUUUAAUCAGAAACUGCACUGGCAAAGGUCUAGAGGAUGUAGAGGAGCUCCAGUUUGAUCCUAAGGAUGGCAUUGCUUUUUUUUUCUUCUUAUGCUCCAGUUUGCAGCAACAUCUCCGACACCCUCUCGACGAAUUGCAGGUAGAUUGUAGCUGAGGAUGCGGCGAUGACCACCGAGGUAUGCCCUUCUCUCCUUGCCCUUCAUGCUGGCUUCAACAAGGCCGAAAGAUCUUCAGUCUUUUACAAGGACCGGAGUGCAUGCUCGGUGGCAGAAGCAUCAGGGUGCUCCACGCUCAACAUCUUCUCAGCAUAGCUGCUCGAUCAGUAGUUUUGAUUGAUCUAUUUGAUAAUUUAAGCCAUCCAGUUGAUGUUCUUGGUUCGCUCAUGCUCUUUUCUUAUGUUGUUGUUUAAUCACUAUUGGCUUGGAUAUUCUCUAUAGCAUCUCAACAAUUCACUGCAAUUGGCCAGGUUAUUCUGUAUAUUUGAUACUGUACGAGAGUAGCAGUCGGACUCAAAAAAUCACAACAUUCUGCAGGUACAGCAACCACUUGACGCCGAGCCUUGAUCUCAUUUUUAUGAGUAGGUUAUAAAUUUUUAGUAACUAAAUUCACAUUAGUUUUUGAAGCACAAAUUGAUGUCUGUAAGUUAUUUAGGAUAACAUUUUGCUCCAUUUGGUAGAUAUAUAACAAGACAAUAUAGAGGGAUGUAGAGAGCUAUUUUGUUUGUUAAAAUAAACAGUGGAAACGGUUAGUUUUAAUCAGAUAUGUUUGCUGAAAUCCAUUUGGAUUUUUUUCUCUUUUCUUAGUUUGGUCGCACAUGGAUCAGCUUAGCGUGUCUACCUUUUUCACUAAAGUGUGGAUAUUUAUGUAUAGAGUAAAACGUGUCCAUGCUAUUUAUUUUCCAUAGUCAUUGUUGCCUAUACCAUAUUUACAUUGCUGUCUUUAUUGUCCUUAUCUGAUGAUAGCCCAUUGGGAAAUGAAAGAAAGUGGGUUAAAUACUUUGUUUCUUUAUUUUAGGUCCAAAUUUACAUUGAUUGUUUAGUGGUUCAUCGAAAUUCUUCUGCCUAUGACUUUGAAAUUGGCCAGUAAAAGCCAACAUCCACCCUCAUCACAGCCGCAGUCAGGGAUUCGUUCAUUUUAGUGUGAGUAAGGAUGGGAACAUUGAUCUAUAUAUGGUAAUAUUUCAUGCUGAUUUCAUUUCUCAUUUCAUUGAUCAUCCAUGUUACUCCUUUGACAAAUGAUAUUUAUAGUACUUCUGGAUGACAAAGACUUCGAGUUCUGUGUGAAGCUCCAAAAGGAAUACCUAUAAGACUCCUUCAUCAACUUAGUAAGAUUGCAUAUGCCCUUUGCGUUGCACAGGUCCAAUGCCUCGCUCCUCUACUCAUAGUGAAAAAAAACUUAGGUACUCUGAAAUUUAUCUUUUCUUCCCCUCACGCUUUGUUAGGUUAGAUCAAUAGUUUUAUCUUAUUGGACCUGUGCAUUUUGAGAGUCCGAAAUGGGAACAUUAAAUUUACUUGGACCCUAUCUUAUUCUCAUAUCUGUAACUAGCUUUCCUUGUCAUUUAGAAGGGACGACCUAAGGAGUAGAGAGAUUCGAGGCAAUCAAAAUCCUGCAUAUGUAUGUUUACAGGCGUUUGAUAAUCCUACGCCAGGGCCACAUAUAUAGGGACAUUCAAAAUUCUACACCAGGUUCACGUAUAUAGGGACAUAUUCAGCUGAGGUUCACGUAUAUACAAACCUGAAACUGUAUGCUUCAAACCGGAUGUGGCAGUAAUCCACUCAUCAUGCAAAACAAAACAAAAAUCUGUUACCUAGCAUGUAUUUGUUUGUACAGAUGAUGCAAUGUACUACAUUUUGUUUGCAUAAUACAUCACCUAGCAUGUAUUUGUUAUAAUCGAGCACCGCGACGAAUCUGUUAUUUACCUUAGGAGGGUAAGAAAAAACACAAUCAAUGAUAUUAUACAUAAUUCUAGACAUUGUUUUAGAGUAUGUUAUAAAGUAUAUUUUUCUUCUAGUAAAUGUUGGAAAUGUCUAUGUACUUUUUUCUCCCAAUAUGUUAUGGUCAUUUUCCUGCUAUGCAUAUAAAUUUCAUGGCCAGCUUACCAACUGGUGGUUGGCGAUCCUUUCUAUCUUCUUCCUCGCCGGCUCGAUAAAUCUCUCGGUUUCCUUCUCCUACCACUCUUCCUCCCUUGUGCUCUGUAACUCGGCCAUUGAUGUGGCUGUUAGUAAUAAGAUGGUAAUAUUUGUUUUAUAGAAAUACUUGUUUUUUGCGGGUGUUUAGAAAUACUUGUUAGUUGCACAGGUGUACCCUGCAAGGAAUAAUUUUACAAUGGAAAUGCAUAUCUGUUGAAUUGAUUAGUUGCACAGGGGUACCCUGCAAGGAAUAAUUUUACAAUGGAAAUGCAUAUCUGUUGAAUUGAUGACUAAACAAGUUUGCGGGCACAUCUCUGAAAAUACAAGCAAAUACAGACAUAGAUUUAAGGGUUCUCAUUCAUUUAAAUCUCAAUGUUGAGAGAAGCCGAUCUUUGGAUAUGAGUAUUUUCUUCCCUGUUUGCGUGAUUGUUUAAUUGAAUGGAUAACUAUGUCUCCUGAAUAUUGUCCCAUAUAAUUGUUUUAAAUCUACCGAAUUAGUUCUCUAAAUCAGUUGAUAUUUUGCAAAGCUUCAAGCUUUAGUUUUUGCACUUCAUGACAUCAAUUGUUUGUGCAGAUUCAAGAUUUAUUUCUGUACUGGAUGAUAGCAGUGAUUAGUGGAUUACUGUCACAUGCUGCUGUUGUCAUCCAUAUCUCCUCAGGUGCCUUAGGUUUGUGAUGCGAAAGUUGUUGUACAUAUGUAAAUUGUUCUGUUCUUCGUUCGCCAAAACAUUAAUAAGCCCGCGAUACACUUUGCUUCUUUUUUAUCUAAUGUCUAUUUGUAGACUAAGUGUUUUAUUUAUGAUAGUGGAUUUCUGGCGUACAUGUGAAUAUCUCAUGUAUAUACAAUCAGUACAUUCACCUGAACGAGAAUGUUAGCAAGCAGAGCGGGGUUGCGUCUUGUCCUUCUAGCAUCGAAGGUCCGGUGCACCCAUGUGUGUGCCUUUGCUGGUUUCUGACUGUCACAAAGAAGUCAGAGCUGUGGGCGGCGAGGCCACUGCGGCAACAAUGGCUAUGAGGACAGUUUUCAGCAAGCGGUGCUCCCCGAAUGUUGCGUUGAACUACGUCGUUGCGUGGCUUGCAACCUUCUCCUAUAAAGCCCGUAUGCAAAAUCGAAACUGUCAUGUCCUCGGUGUUGUGCUCGACUAUUCAUUGUUGCUUUGUGGCUCCGUGCUUCCUCUCCACAGUUAUAUCGUUUUUUGUGAUGUAAUCUUAUUAGUGGUUGGGUCAUCCAUGCGAGCCCCUUCUGAAGUUUGUAGUCUAGGUUAGAUACAUCCGUAUGUAGACAAAUUGAAGACAAAUAAUAUGGAAAGGAGGGAGUAUAUUAUUUGA